rnacentral:rRNA from 1 species
GAUGAACGCUGGCGGCGUGCUUAACACAUGCAAGUCGAACGAAGCACUUUAUUUGAUUUCCUUCGGGACUGAUUAUUUUGUGACUGAGUGGCGGACGGGUGAGUAACGCGUGGGUAACCUGCCUUGUACAGGGGGAUAACAGUUGGAAACGGCUGCUAAUACCGCAUAAGCGCACAGCAUCGCAUGAUGCAGUGUGAAAAACUCCGGUGGUAUAAGAUGGACCCGCGUUGGAUUAGCUAGUUGGUGAGGUAACGGCCCACCAAGGCGACGAUCCAUAGCCGACCGGAGAGGGUGACCGGCCACAUUGGGACUGAGACACGGCCCAAACUCCUACGGGAGGCAGCAGUGGGGAAUAUUGCACAAUGGGCGAAAGCCUGAUGCAGCGACGCCGCGUGAGCGAAGAAGUAUUUCGGUAUGUAAAGCUCUAUCAGCAGGGAAGAUAAUGACGGUACCUGACGAAGAAGCACCGGCUAAAUACGUG